AUUGAACGCUGGCGGCAGGCCUAACACAUGCAAGUCGAGCGAGCGGCGGACGGGUGAGUAAUGUAUGGGGAACUGCCCGAUGGAGGGGGAUAACUACUGGAAACGGUAGCUAAUACCGCAUACUAUCGGAUGUGCCCAGAUGGGAUUAGCUAGUUGGUGGGGUAAUGGCUCACCAAGGCGACGAUCCCUAGCUGGUCUGAGAGGAUGACCAGCCACACUGGAACUGAGACACGGCCCAGACUCCUACGGUAGGCAGCAGUGGGGAAUAUUGCACAAUGGGCGCAAGCCUGAUGCAGCCAUGCCGCGUGUGUGAAGAAGGCCUUAGGGUUGUAAAGCACUUUCAGUGAGGAGGCGUUACUCGCAGAAGAAGCACCGGCUAACUCCGUGCCAGCAGCCGCGGUAAUAC
rnacentral:rRNA from 1 species